GAUGAACGCUAGCGGCAGGCUUAAUACAUGCAAGUCGAGGGGUAGCAAGAUUGUAGCAAUACAAUUGUUGACGACCGGCAAACGGGUGCGGAACACGUACACAACCUUCCUACAAGUGGGGAAUAGCCCAGAGAAAUUUGGAUUAAUACCCCGUAACAUAGCGAUGUGGCAUCACAUUGCUAUUAUAGCUUCGGCGCUUGUUGAUGGGUGUGCGGCUGAUUAGAUAGUUGGCGGGGUAACGGCCCACCAAGUCUACGAUCAGUAGCUGAUGUGAGAGCAUGAUCAGCCACACGGGCACUGAGACACGGGCCCGACUCCUACGGGAGGCAGCAGUAAGGAAUAUUGGACAAUGGACGCAAGUCUGAUCCAGCCAUGCCGCGUGAAGGAUUAAGGUCCUCUGGAUUGUAAACUUCUUUUAUAAGGGACGAAAAAAGGUCUUUCUAGAUCGUCUGACGGUACCUUAUGAAUAAGCACCGGCUAACUCCGUGCCAGCAGCCGCGGUAACAC
rnacentral:rRNA from 1 species